GAGAUUGGUGCAGGAGGUCUGGAACCUGUCCUCGCAGUGGGACCAAACAAAGAGCUCAUGGCCCUUGUACCAAAAGCGAAUACAGCAAGCCCGGGCAGAAAUGGCUGCUUGGGAAGCCUGGUCUCAGGGGGAGGACCGAGAGACACCUCAGGUCACCAGGCAACAUGAUUGGAUUCCCCAUCCCCCAGCCCAG